rnacentral:lncRNA from 1 species
UCAGAACUUUUCAAAAGGUUUAAUAUUAAAAUGAAAGUAAAAACAUACAAAACUUUUCUAAACUAUAAAGUAUUUUGAAUUAGCUAUCUAACCUUUUAAAAUUUUAUUUUUACUAUCUAAUCUUUUUGUACGUUAGAACUGAAUCAGUUAAUAAUAUUUUGACAUCAAAAUUUGAAUGCAUCAUUUAGUUUUACAGAUUUAAUUAGUAC